rnacentral:rRNA from 2 species
AAACCAACAGGGAUUGCCCUAGUAACGGCGAGUGAAGCGGCAACAGCUCAAAUUUGAAAUCCGGCUUCGGCCCGAGUUGUAAUUUGUAGAGGAUGCUUUGGGCGCGGCGCCAACUGAGUUCCCUGGAACGGGACGCCACAGAGGGUGAGAGCCCCGUAUAGUUGGAUGCCUAGCCUAUGUAAAGCUCCUUCGACGAGUCGAGUAGUUUGGGAAUGCUGCUCAAAAUGGGAGGUAAAUUUCUUCUAAAGCUAAAUACCGGCCAGAGACCGAUAGCGCACAAGUAGAGUGAUCGAAAGAUGAAAAGCACUUUGAAAAGAGGGUUAAAUAGCACGUGAAAUUGUUGAAAGGGAAGCGCUUGUGACCAGACUUGCGCCGGGCAGAUCAUCCGGUGUUCUCACCGGUGCACUCUGCCCGGCUCAGGCCAGCAUCGGUUCUCGUGGGGGGAUAAAGGUCUCGGGAACGUAGCUCUUCCGGGAGUGUUAUAGCCCGGGGCGUAAUGCCCUCGCGGGGACCGAGGUUCGCGCAUCUGCAAGGAUGCUGGCGUAAUGGUCAUCAGCGACCCGUCUUGAAACACGGACCAAGGAGUCAAGGUUUUGCGCGAGUGUUUGGGUGUAAAACCCGCACGCGUAAUGAAAGUGAACGUAGGUGAGAGCUUCGGCGCAUCAUCGACCGAUCCUGAUGUAUUCGGAUGGAUUUGAGUAAGAGCGUUAAGCCUUGGACCCGAAAGAUGGUGAACUAUGCUUGGAUAGGGUGAAGCCAGAGGAAACUCUGGUGGAGGCUCGCAGCGGUUCUGACGUGCAAAUCGAUCGUCAAAUCUGAGCAUGGGGGCGAAAGAC